UACGGAAGGCAGCAGGGGGAAUAUUGCACAAUGGGCGAAAGCCUGAUGCAGCUAUGCCGCGUGUAUGAAGAAGGCCUUAGGGUUGUAAAGUACUUUCAUCGGGGAGGAAAAACAAAACUAAUAAUUUUAUUUCUUGACGUUACCCGAAAAAGAAGCACCGGCUAACUCCGUGCCAGCAGCCGCGGUAAUACGGAGGGUGCUAGCGUUAAUCAGAAUUACUGGGCGUAAAGAGCACGUAGGUGGUUUUUUUAAGUCAGAUGUGAAAUCCCUGGGCUUAACCUAGGAACUGCAUUUUGAAACUGAAAUACUAGAGUAUCGUAGAGGGAGGUAGAAUUCUAGGUGUAGCGGUGAAAUGCGUAGAUAUCUGGAGGAAUACCUGUGGCGAAAGCGGCCUCCUAAACGAAUACUGACACUGAGGGUGCGAAAAGCGUGGGGAGCAAAACAGGGAUUAGAUACC
rnacentral:rRNA from 1 species